GCCGGCCUAGCUCAAUUGGUAGAGCAACUGACUUGUAAUCAGUAGGUUGGGGGUGCAAGUCCUCUGGCCGGCACCA
rnacentral:tRNA from 1 species